UCGGCGGCUACACAUGCAAGUCGAGCGAGAACUUCGGUUCUAGCGGCGGACGGGUUAGUAACGCGUGGGAACGUGCCCUUCACUACGGAAUAGUCCCGGGAAACUGGGUUUAAUACCGUAUACGCCCUUCGGGGGAAAGAAUUUCGGUGAAGGAUCGGCCCGCGUUAGAUUAGAUAGUUGGUGGGGUAACGGCCUACCAAGUCUACGAUCUAUAGCUGGUUUUAGAGGAUGAUCAGCAACACUGGGACUGAGACACGGCCCAGACUCCUACGGGAGGCAGCAGUGGGGAAUCUUAGACAAUGGGCGCAAGCCUGAUCUAGCCAUGCCGCGUGAGUGAUGAAGGCCUUAGGGUCGUAAAGCUCUUUCGCCAGGGAUGAUAAUGACAGUACCUGGUAAAGAAACCCCGGCUAACUCCGUGCCAGCAGCCGCGGUAAUACGGAGGGGGUUAGCGUUGUUCGGAAUUACUGGGCGUAAAGCGCGCGUAGGCGGAUUGGAAAGUUGGGGGUGAAAUCCCAGGGCUCAACCCUGGAACUGCCUCCAAAACUAUCAGUCUAGAGUUCGAGAGAGGUGAGUGGAACUCCGAGUGUAGAGGUGAAAUUCGUAGAUAUUCGGAAGAACACCAGUGGCGAAGGCGGCUCACUGGCUCGAUACUGACGCUGAGGUGCGAAAGUGUGGGGAGCAAACAGGAUUAGAUACCCUGGUAGUCCACA
rnacentral:rRNA from 1 species